CCCACACCACCAUCCAUCAUUGUUUCUUCCUAAUGACUGGCAUUCCAUUCUGAAUGAAGGAAGACAGAAUCCCUGUGGAGGAAGACAUAACCUCCAUGGAGCUUUGAUCUGCAUUUCUCUGAUGGUUGGGGUGGGGGUGCGGAGGUACGGAUGGGAAUGGGUUGAACAUUAUUCUUUGUAUCCUUUUGCCCUUUGUAGUUUAUCUUCUGUGAACUGCCCUCCUCCCUUUUUAUUUCUGAGGAGCCUGCCCUAGAAGCAGCCCAUCUGGUCAUCUGGUUUUUCUUCCACUGUCAUCAAUGUGCGACCUCAGACAAGCUCCAUACUGCCCUAAGAACUUGGAUAAAAUCCCUUCUACAAGCAAAGACGGGGGAAAUGACUCUGGGCACACAGUCAAGAGUGACAGCCAUAAACUGUGAUUAGCAUAAACUUCUCAGCUGGAAGGGCAAAACAGUGAUCCAGGAGAAGAAUUUUAGGGAUUUCACAGGCUAUUUUCUUGUAGCUAGACUCAACUUCAAAUCUUGACAAUGUUAAAUACAUUGCAUGGGUAUAUAUAAACCAUAUAUAAACUAUCCAGCAGGGUCUGGGAGGUGGCUCAGUGGGUAUCAGGGCUUGCUGUGAAAGCAAAAGGACCUGAGUUCAAAUCCCUAGCAACCAAAUAAAACAUCUGGAGAUGGCCACCUUAGCGUGUAAUCCCCAGCAUUGGAGGACAGAGACAAGCAGAUCCCUCUAACCAGCCUGGGCACAUACUGUUCCACUUUCUCCUUUUCUGGGACAUCCAUCCUCUCAUCAAAGGAUCCCACACUUUACUACGUAUCAAUGAUGUUGCUUUUCCACUCUUUCUACACAAGAUGACAACUCCACAUGAGUCUCUGCCCCUGAGGACCUUCAGUGGGACGAGUUUGGAGACAGAAGAUAGUCCACUGAUGGCUCUGCUUCUGAUGGGAUGUGACCAGCUGCAUCAAGUUCCUGCCAUCUUGACAUUCCCACAGCGAUGGACAGUGACCUAAAGUCGUGAAUCCGAUAAACCCUCCUCCUUUAUGUUGCUUUUGUCAGGGUAUCAUGUCACAGCAACAGGAAAGGAAGCUACGACAGCCUCUCAGUACCGCCUCCCUGGAACGUUCUCUGUCCUCUGACUUCAUCUGUCCAACCUGUGUGUGUCCUGCUAUCUGUGGCUUCUUUCAGCCGUAGAGUCUUUGUUGUUUAGCUCCAGGUGGGUAUUUCCGUAAAGUGGCGAGUGUCUGCUGAGAGUUGCAUCUGCCUGUCGUGCAUAGUGUGAGCAGCCCGCAUGUGGAACUAGGAGGACUGCAAACAGACUAGAAGAAAAGCGAGGCACAUUUGCUGCAAGUGUGGUCUCAGCACCGUGUGAUGCGGCUCCCCUUUGCAGAACUUAAGGAGGAGGAGAAGCUUUCAGUUAUGAAGACCUGGUGUUUGCCAAAGGAAAUGCUGAAGGGAGUUUUGCUGCUCAGUCAUGGUGUAUAAACUCCGUGAGUGACAUCAGGGUUUGUGGAAGUAUUAGGGUUGGGUGGCAAAAGUUUCUCUACAUUAUCAAGAACCUUGAGGAAGCAGCUGAACUGAACCCUAAAGUUGAGACUUCGACUCCCUUGACAGUGUUAGGUGCUGAGUACCUGCCAUCUACAUCCUGUCCAAAUGCAGAGAACACUUGACCAACUGAUGUUAUCUACAACGCAGCCAUUUUACCUGAAGCUUAGUGGACAUCAGAGGAGGGGGAAUAGAAAGAUCAUAAAAGCCAGAGAACCAGAGUGUCUGCUGUGAGAUAAUGUCUUCUAGUCAUGACAAAGAAAUUGUAGCCAUGAAAUCUUAAAAAAUAUGGUUACCUAAACAAGAUCUGCACAAUGACUAUACCAGUUGCACACCAGUAUAGAUGGGGGAAAGUCUCACAAGGCUGCAUCUCAGUAUGAGGAGCUGAAGGAAUUAGUGGCUAAUAAAAUAGGGAGAAUUAGAAUUCUCCAGGGACAAACACUCUAAUAGGUUAUCUAAUCCAAUGUGGUCAGCCCUAAACAUGUGUGUGUAUACACAUAUAUGUAUGUAUAUAAUGUAUGUAUAUAUGCGUAUGUGUAUAUAUAUAUCUGUAUAUAGGUAUGCAUGCAUGUAUUUAUACAUAUACACAUGUAUUUAUUGAAUAUAUGUGUGUAUGUAUACAUGUAUGUUUGUAUGGAUAUAUACAUAUAUGGAUAUGUGGAUGCAUAGAUGUAUGAUGAAUAUAUGAUGGAUAUAUAAUGGAUAUAUGUGGAUAUAUGGAUAUAUGUAUGUAUGUGUGUGAAUAGGUAUGUAUACAUGUAUGUAUGUAAGAAUGAGUGGAUAUAUGAAUAUGUGGAUAUGUGGAUAUAUAGAUACAUGGAUAUAUGAUGGAUAUAUAUGCAUAUAUACAUAUAUACACAUAUAUAUGCAAUACCAAAUGAACUGCAGACCAUGUUUAUAUAUACACAAGUGUGUGUGUGUGUAUGUGUGUGUGUGUGUAUGUGUGUGUGUGUGUGUGUGUGUUAAAUAAUUAAAGUACAGUUCAUGAAUGUGAGAGAGAGCCAGGGAGAGAGGAAGGGGUGGAAAUGAUGCAAAUAUAGUACUCAUGUAUGAAAUUCUCAAAAUUAAUUACAUUUCAAAAGGUAGAAGUAAGAAGGCUUACAAAUGGGGUGUAAGGAAAGAAAGCAAACCAACGAGUAGACCUGCGGGUGAAGGCACACUGAUCAACAAGUGUAAUGAUUUGAGUUCCCCAGGACCCACAUUAUGGGAACAGAGGACUCAUUCCUGCACAGUGUCCUCUGACUUUCGUAUGUGCACAGUGGAAUGCAUAAGCUUGUACACACACACACACACACACACACACACACACACACACACACACACCAUAAACCAAAAAUGAGUUACAGCAACUUAGAAAUAGGCACAGUGACUAUUAUAGUAAACUAAAAUUAAUUCACUCUUGAAGUAUCAUGGCACAGUCCAGGAAUGAAGUCACGUGUGGGGAAUCCUGAGGGCUUGUGAGAACACACGACAAGAGUCCUGUGGCCUCGGUUUCUUCAAAACACAGAACUGUUCUUGGAGCAUGCUUCUGUUCUCCUCCCGGGUGUGACAGACAGCAGCGAGUUUACUUCAGAUUAAUCAUUAUGGUUUGCCGUUGUUAUUCAAUUAGAUGUUUAAACUGGCCUCUCUAUGCCUCCAUGGAAAAGCCAUGGUUUUGCCACGUGCAGCCUGUCCUUGGGAUUCUAUGCAGCUUGGACUCAUGAGAGCUUUACUUAACCCUUAACCUCUCUUAACCCUCCGUGUAUAAAUUUUCCGAGGAUCUGAAUAAAGCAUGAGACUUUA